GGGGGGGGACCCCCGGAGGUCUGGGGGGUACCCGGGGGUCCGGAGCGGUCCUGGGAGUUUGGCGGGAUCUCAGGCGUUCAGGGGAGAUCUCAGGAGUUUUAAGGGUCUCCCAGGCACUCCGGUAACCCCCCAAAUCCCUCCUUGCCCCUUCUCAGGCCCCCCCCGCGCAACUCCCCCCCAGACGGUAAAGCAACUGCUGAAGGAGCUGCGGCAGCAGCGGAGCGGGGAAGGGGCGAGACCCUCGGGUUUGGCUGUGCCCGCCCCACGCCCUGUGCAUGGUGCCACCUGGCCCAGACCCCAUCUAGUGACCCCCAAGCCUUGUGGGGUCUCCCCUGUGUCCACCCCCAGUGGCCUGAUGGGGGCCCAUGGGGAAGGGGCCCAUGGUCUGGAGGGUUUUCAGGUUGCUGCUACCCCUGGCCCUGCCUGGACCCACCCCCCCGUGCCAGGUGGGGAAUUUGGGGGCCCCCCGAUGGGGAGGGAGACCUCAGACCCUGAUCUUGACCCUCGGGAACUGGCGGUCGCCCGUGCUGUGCUGUGGGGCCAAGACCCCUGGGAGCUCCUGUGGCAGGACGAGGAGGGGGACACGCUGCUGCACGUGCUCUGUGCAGGGGGGCUGCGGGUGCCCGCCCGGGCUGCAGCUGAGGCUCUGCGGGAUCUGGGAGGGCUCGAGAUGCGGGAGCACCUGGGAAAGGUGAGGGGGCAGCACAAGGGGUAAAAAAGGGGGCUAUGAGGGCAGUAAGUGAGUCCUCGUGGGGCAAUAAGGGGGUG
rnacentral:lncRNA from 1 species